rnacentral:rRNA from 1 species
CCUACGGGAGGCAGCAGUGAGGAAUAUUGGUCAAUGGGCGCGAGCCUGAACCAGCCAAGUCGCGUGAGGGAGGACGGCCCUACGGGUUGUAAACCUCUUUUGCCGGGGAGCAACGGGCGUCACGUGUGGCGCCACUGAGAGUACCCGGAGAAAAAGCAGCGGCCAACUCCGUGCCAGCAGCCGCGGUAAUACGGAGGAUGCGAGCGUUAGCCGGAUUUAUUGGGUUUAAAGGGUGCGUAGGCGGAUCGUUAAGUCAGUGGUCAAAUUGAGGGGCUCAACCCCUUCCCGCCAUUGAAACUGGCGUUCUUGAGUGGACGAGCAGUAUGCGGAAUUCGUGGUGUAGCGGUGAAAUGCAUAGAUAUCACGCAGAACCCCGAUUGCGAAGGCAGCAUGCCGGCUUCCGCCUGACGCUGCAGCACGAAAGCGUGGGGAUCGAACAGGAUUAGAUACCCUAGUAGUC